rnacentral:rRNA from 1 species
CCUAUGGGCGGCAGCAGUGAGGAAUAUUGGUCAAUGGGCGGGAGCCUGAACCAGCCAAGUCGCGUGAAGGAAGAAGGUACUUAGUAUUGUAAACUUCUUUUGUCGGGGAACAAAGGCGGAGACGCGUCUCCGGAUGAGUGUACCCGAAGAAAAAGCAUCGGCUCACUCCGUGCCAGCAGCCGCGGUAAUCCGGAGGAUCCGAGCGUUAUCCGGAUUUAUUGGGUUUAAAGGGAGCGUAGAUGGGUUGUUAAGUCAGUCGGGAAAGUUUGCGGCGCAACCGUAAAAUUGCAAUUGAUAAUGGCAGCCUUGAGUACAGUGGAGGUAGGCGGAAUUCGUGGUGUAGCGGUGAAAUGCUUAGAUAUCACGAAGAACUCCGAUUGCGAAGGCAGCUUACUAAACUGCCACUGACAUUGAUGCUCGAAAGUGUGGGUAUCAAACAGGAUUAGAUACCCCAGUAGUC